rnacentral:rRNA from 1 species
GAUGAACGCUGGCGGCGUGCCUAAUACAUGCAAGUCGAGCGAACAGACGAGGAGCUUGCUCCUCUGACGUUAGCGGCGGACGGGUGAGUAACACGUGGAUAACCUACCUAUAAGACUGGGAUAACUUCGGGAAACCGGAGCUAAUACCAGCUAAUAUAUUGUACCGCAUGGUUCAAUAGUGAAAGACGGUUUUGCUGACACUUAUAGAUGGAUCCGCGCCGCAUGAGCUAGGGGGUAAGGUAACGGCUUACCAAGGCAACGAUGCGUAGCCGACCUGAGAGGAUGAUCAGCCACACUAGAACUGAGACAAGGUCCAGACGCCGACGGGAGGCAGCAGUGGGGAAUAUUGGACAAUGGGCGCAAGCCUGAUCCAGCCAUACCGCGUGGGUGAAGAAGGCCGUCGGGUUGUAAAGCCCUUUUGUUGGGAAAGAAAAGCAGCAGGUUAAUACCCCGCUGUUCUGAGGGUACCCAAAGAAUAAGCAACGGCUAACUUCGUG